GCCUUCUUGGCUCAGUUGGGAGAGCGUUUCCAAAGUACCAGGAGUGAAUCCUGACGGCAGGAGAACCAGUUCGAUUCUGAUAGAAGGCA